rnacentral:rRNA from 1 species
CGGACGGGUGAGUAAUGUCUGGGAAACUGCCUGAUGGAGGGGGAUAACUACUGGAAACGGUAGCUAAUACCGCAUAACGUCGCAAGACCAAAGGGGGGACCUUCGGGCCUCUUGCCAUCGGAUGUGCCCAGAUGGGAUUAGCUAGUAGGUGGGGUAACGGCUCACCUAGGCGACGAUCCCUAGCUGGUCUGAGAGGAUGGCCAGCCACACUGGAACUGAGACACGGUCCAG